rfam:Gossypium raimondii Chr05_contig_580, whole genome shotgun sequence.
AUACCAUGGUGAGGGCACUUUCGUAAUAACUCCUUGAACUGCUCACUUGCCUCAUAUAAAGAUUCUUCGUCAAGUUGCUGAAAUGAAGUGAUUUCAUUUAGGAGCUU